UACGGAGGGUGCGAGCGUUGUCCGGAAUCACUGGGCGUAAAGGGCGCGUAGGUGGCGCGGGAAGCCAGCGGUGAAAGUUCGGGGCUCAACCCUGAAUCGGCCGUCGAUACUCCCGGGCUCGAGCACUGUAGAGGCAGAUGGAAUUCCGGGUGUAGCGGUGGAAUGCGUAGAGAUCCGGAAGAACACCGGUGGCGAAGGCGGUCUGCUGGGCAGUUGCUGACACUGAUGCGCGACAGCGUGGGGAGCAAACAGG
rnacentral:rRNA from 1 species